UAUACUCACUUCUUUAUAGGU
rnacentral:piRNA from 1 species